rnacentral:lncRNA from 1 species
UUCGAUCAUGAUAAUAAAGGUAAACGUUACUGGUAACAUAUGUAAUAAAUGCUACUUAUGGCGACCAAUCAAAUGCAUGCACAUGGAAGACUUAGAGUCAAUGUCCAUGUCCUCUCUUAAUGUGAAAAACAAUGAACUUAGAGUCAAUGUCCAUGUGUGACCCCCAAAUUUUAGAAUUAAACAACCUUACUUUCAGCAGCAAUUUCCCGUAAGGUCCAUAAGUCUACACUAGGUACAAAGUUUCAAAUAUACUAUAGUACUACUAGUUGAUCAUGGUCGGAUAGUCUAAUCUGGUCUUCCAAAAUGUGAAUAGUGAAAUUUGAUAUGGAUGGCUAGAAACUAGAAUGGGUACAUAAUGGGUGUGUUUCCAUUUGGAUACUCUUAUGUCACUGGUCAGCGGAUAUCUGAUAUGUUCGGUUAGAAGUUAGAAUGCAUACAAAAUAGGUUGCAUCCUUUGGAUGAUUUGAUGUCAUCGAUUAGCAGAUAUCGGAUAUGGAUGGUGAAGAUAGUAUGGAUACAAAGUGGGUUGCACCCUUUGGAUGGUAUGAUGUCACUGGUAGAAGAUAUCCGAUAUGGAUGGUGAAGAUAGUAUGGAUACAAAGUGGGCUACACCCUUUAAAUGGUUUGAUUUCAUCGGUCAACAGUUAUCAAGUGUAGAUGGUCAAAAGUUAGAAUGGAUACAAUGUGGGCUGCACCCUUUGGAUGGUCUUAUGUCAUCAGUCAGGAGAUAUCCAAUGUGGAUGAUCAGAAGUUAGAAUGGAUACAAUGUGAAAUGCACUAUUUAGAUGUUUAUGAUAUUACCUCCGCUACAUUAACUGUAAUAUAUUUGUUAUCACGCCCCUCAACCACCAAUGUAUCUUACAUAAAUGACCUAAUCUCUUGUUUUU